UCAUUUAUCCCACUUUCAUCUUCAUUCUUGUCGCGGGGCAGCUGAAGUGGCCACGGCAGCGACGGCGGCGACAAUGAAUUGAUUACCUCGUCAUCAGAUUGGCGGCCAUCGACAAGGAGACAAUGACCUCGUGAUCGAUUUGGCCGCUGAGAUACAGUUGAUAUGAUGCUGGUAGGAUGAUUUGCUCUCUGCAAUUUGGUGCAAUGUUUUCGUUCAUUAUUGGCUCAUGUAAUUCCCUUAUAGUUGAGGUACAAUAUUAUUGUAUUGUUAUCAGUGCCUCUGUAUGUGAUAGGAGCCUACUUUGUUAGCUCUGUAAGUCUGUAUAUGAGCUUGUUUUGAGAAGGUUUAGGUAGGAAUCCUGGGAACACAUAUGAACACGAGCUACUGGUGUGUGUGCUAUGUAAUAGGAGUCUACUGCUGAUGUUCAAAAUUCUGCACACAUCAUUCUACUUA